GUUUGUGUAUGCGUCUAGUGUGGUUGGGAGUCAUAGACUCUUACACUGCCGCUGGAUAGCUUAUAUUCAUAGGUGAAAAGAAAGCUGAGUGCGUAAGUCUUUCCUUCCAGUACAUAGCCUCUACACUAACAAGACUUCUACAGUGCCUCCCCGUGACAGCACAUGGUAACUAGGAUCUAGUGUCCUAGGCUUAACUGUAGAGGAUCUCGGAGUAGCAAGGACCCUAGAGAUGAAGUGUGUAGGCCGAUCGACGAGCGGACAUCCCUAGCAUUCAUCAACCUUGCCCCAGUUAUGGGUUAAAUAGCCGGCUGAAUGAUGGUCAUCAGCCUUGAAAGGAUGUCUAGGAGAAGAAAACUCUGAUAUGAAAUUUUUGGUAGAUUUGACUCGUCAGCCUUGGUCUGCAAUUGAUCUAAAGGAAAUAAAGCUUGAGUAAAGAUUCUCUGGUUCUCCAAGUUUGGGAUUGAGAGAUAUGCCAACAACCUAUCCUUGUAAAAAGGAAGAAUGAUUAUAUACUGAUUAAUCUCCCAGAUGAGGAACAUCACAACCGGAUCUGCAUGAAGCUUUAACAUUCAAAAGACAAGUUAUCCUGGAUAUUUUGAAAACACGUAAAUGAUUUAGUGAAGGAAAAUCGAAGGAAAGUAGGACCUGGAUGUAAAAUAAUACCAACUUUAAGACAAAGCGUGCUUAUUAAUUUAGAAAUCAACUGAAGCAGAAGAAUGGAUUCUGUUGAUCUGAGGAACUUGGAAACACUUAUUGACAA